AAUCAAGAUUGGCUAGCCCCAGCCUUCCAGCAGCCAGCCACUCUGCUAAACCAAACUCACUAAAUUUACUAUGUUUAAUGAAUCUCUGAAGUGCCUUGCACUUGAGGAAAUCCCUGAAAAUAUAUCAGCACUACUGUUGUCAGAAGGAGAAAGGGCCACAAUAAUCUCGCCAAUCUUCCUGUGCAACAGUACCCACUUUAGCAUUCCACGAGGAUACCAGCAGCAAAUGCAUAGGCCAAAUGGACACUGCUAAUUAAAAUCUCCAAUCAAGGUGCACCCAUAGGGGGACUCAUCUUGAAGAAUCACAGUUACUACACAGGGGAUAUUUUGGGGUUUAGUCAGUCAGCUUUUCCUUAUUUAAAGACGAAAGAAGAAAGGCGCCCACUCCCCACUGCAGAAGUGGCUGGACUACUGAGGAGCUAAACCUCCCCCAGAAGGAGGGAACACGGAAAGUGACGUGGCCACAGGACUGAGCCUCGCAGAGGACACUGAGGAUCCUGAUGCUGUGAGAAGGGCUGCUGGUAGACUGCAGAGAAGGCGUGAUGGUGUGUAGACUGCAGACAGGGGUGUCGACCUCAAGCUAAUCCCCAGAGCAACCUGGAGGAGGCGCCAGUCCGGAGGUUGGGACAGUGAAGGUUGCUGAAGUAAUGGCUGUGGAGCAGAUUUCUACUCCCUACUGGGAAAGAACACCUUCCCCCACCCCUGGUGUAGCAAAGCAGUGCACAGCUUGGUUCUCAGGCUACGUGCUGCUCCCCAGGAUUUGAGUCUUAAAUACAGAUACUCUGCAUAUGCACGGGAAACUAGUUAAUGGCCUCUUCCACCAGCUUUAUUCGAUAAAGGGCUGCAGGAUUGGAUCCUACUUGUGCAGUUACUGAUUCAAAGGAUGGACAGGUUCUGUCAGUAAAGCUUGAUACAAUAGCUGUGUAUGGAGACUAGCUGCAAAGAAAGAAAUGUGAAAGCUCUGUAGGAAAAGGCAGCGGAGGUGUGCAAACUGAACCAGCAAAUAACAAUGAAGCAAGAGGUUAUGGCUCUUGCUUCAAGAUGUGGAAACUGAUUACCUCCAGAUUUUCUGUAUUUCAACGGCAGAGAGAAAAAACUCUAGGUGAUGAAUUGGGGAGAGAUGAAGGGCUGGAGUAGGGAAUAUAAUGAUAAGGUUGUGAGCUCAAGUGCUCAAAAGUCAGGAAAUUCCCCAAAUUUGGGUUGCUCUGGCAACGUUAGUGCAGCCACGCUGUAUGCAUGUCAUAUUUUCUAUUCCUUUUCCCAUUACUGAAUGUAAAGAACACACAUAACUUUAUUAACAUAUACAGCAGCAUAGGAUGCACAAGAUAAGUUAACCUCGCUCAAUCAGCAUUUACUUUUGGAAUUUUUUUCUGUAGUUUAACGAUAGGAAUAUUAUCAUCUUACCAUCUUUCUAUUCAUAUAAUAGAAAUGGUUGUAACAUUUUAUGUCAUUUUAUUGGGAUCACAUUUGCUGAUGCAAAAGUUGUUACCAUGAUAUGGAAGUAAAUUCAGCAACAAGAAGUGAAUUAUGAGCCAUAUUUCCUGAUGUUCUAUUCAGCACAGAGCUGAAAGCCAAACACCAUUGCAGUGUUUAGGCAUGAAUUAUUACACAAUAGUUCUCGACCUGGAGUGUUUUGAUGCAAAAAUGUUCAAAG